rnacentral:rRNA from 1 species
GACGAACGCUGGCGGCGUGCCUAAUACAUGCAAGUCGAACGCACUCUCGUUUAGAUUGAAGGAGUUUGCUCCUGAUUGAUAAACAUUUGAGUGAGUGGCGGACGGGUGAGUAACACGUGGGUAACCUGCCCUAAAGUGGGGGAUAACAUUUGGAAACAGAUGCUAAUACCGCAUAAAACCUAACACCGCAUGGUGUAGGGUUGAAAGAUGGUUUCGGCUAUCACUUUAGGAUGGACCCGCGGUGCAUUAGUUAGUUGGUGAGGUAAAGGCUCACCAAGACCGUGAUGCAUAGCCGACCUGAGAGGGUAAUCGGCCACACUGGGACUGAGACACGGCCCAGACUCCUACGGGAGGCAGCAGUAGGGAAUCUUCCACAAUGGACGAAAGUCUGAUGGAGCAACGCCGCGUGAGUGAAGAAGGUUUUCGGAUCGUAAAACUCUGUUGUUGGAGAAGAAUGUAUCUGAUAGUAACUGAUCAGGUAGUGACGGUAUCCAACCAGAAAGCCACGGCU